AGUGAACGCUGGCGGCAGGCCUAAUACAUGCAAGUCGAACGGCAGCACAGUGGAGCUUGCUCCAUGGGUGGCGAGUGGCGGACGGGUGAGGAAUACAUGGGAAUCUGCCCAGUCGUGGGGGAUAACGUAGGGAAACUUACGCUAAUACCGCAUGCGCCCUUCGGGGGAAAGCCGGGGACCUUCGGGCCUGGCGCGAUUGGAUGAGCCCAUGUUCGAUUAGCUAGUUGGCGGGGUAAGGCCCACCAAGGCGACGAUCGAUAGCUGGUCUGAGAGGAUGAUCAGCCACACUGGGACUGAGACACGGCCCAGACUCCUACGGGAGGCAGCAGUAGGGAAUAUUGGACAAUGGGCGCAAGCCUGAUCCAGCCAUGCCGCGUGAGUGAAGAAGGCCCUCGGGUUGUAAAGCUCUUUUGUCCGGGAAGAAAAGCAUCGGGCUAAUACCUCGGUGUUCUGACGGUACCGGAAGAAUAAGCACCGGCUAACUUCGUG
rnacentral:rRNA from 1 species